rnacentral:lncRNA from 1 species
UAAAAUAAUUUUGCCAAUGGUGUUUGUUAUUUUAUAAUUAAAAUAUAAAUUAUAAUAACCCAAAUUCAUCUAAGCAUGUUAUCAUCCGAUAAUCUAUUUCUAAUAUAUUUAAUCUGAAGUUGCAAAAAAAUCAUAUAGCACAUCUUAAAACUCCUUUUUUUUUUCUUUUUUUCAUAUGAACAAAAAUCAUAGAUAUUAUUUAUAUGAGAUUAUGGGUUGGAUCCAUCACAAAGACAAAAUUAUACUAAAC